rnacentral:rRNA from 1 species
UACGUAGGAUGCAAGCGUUGUCCGGAAUUAUUGGGCGUAAAGAGCGCGCAGGCGGCCCAUCAAGUCAGAUGUGAAAUAACCAGGCUUAACCUGGUGGGGUCAUUUGAAACUGGCGGGCUAGAGUCCAGCAGAGGAUAGCGGAAUUCCCGGUGUAGUGGUGAAAUGCGCAGAUAUCGGGAAGAACACCCGUGGCGAAGGCGGCACUCUGGGACGGUACUGACGCUGAGACGCGAAAGCGUGGGGAGCGAACAGG